rnacentral:rRNA from 1 species
UACGAAGGGUGCGAGCGUUGUUCGGAAUUACUGGGCGUAAAGGGAGUGUAGGCGGAUAUGUAAGAUAGCGGUGAAAUGCCGGGGCUCAACCUCGGAACUGCCAUUAUGACUAUGUAUCUAGAGUAAUGGAGAGGAUAGCGGAAUACCCAGUGUAGAGGUGAAAUUCGUAGAUAUUGGGUAGAACACCGGUGGCGAAGGCGGCUAUCUGGCCAUUUACUGACGCUGAGGCUCGAAAGCAUGGGGAUCAAACA